rnacentral:rRNA from 1 species
CCUACGGGGGGCAGCAGUGAGGAAUAUUGGUCAAUGGGCGCGAGCCUGAACCAGCCAAGUCGCGUGAAGGAUGACUGCCCUACGGGUUGUAAACUUCUUUUAUAAAGGAAUAAAGUGAGGCACGUGCGCCUUUUUGUAUGUACUUUAUGAAUAAGGAUCGGCUAACUCCGUGCCAGCAGCGGCGGUAAUACGGAGGAUCCGAGCGUUAUCCGGAUUUAUUGGGUUUAAAGGGAGCGUAGAUGGGGUGUUAAGUCGGUCGUGAAAGUAUGCGGCUCAACCGUAAAAUUGCAAUUGAAACUGGCAGGCUGGAGUGCAGUUGAGGUAAGCGGAAUUCGUGGUGUAGCGGUGAAAUGCUUAGAUAUCACGAAGAACUCCGAUUGCGAAGGCAGCUUACUAAACUGCAACUGACGUUGAUGCUCGAAAGUGUGGGUAUCAAACAGGAUUAGAUACCCCUGUAGUC